rnacentral:lncRNA from 1 species
CCAGAAUCCAGUGGCAGACUCUGGACUUGAGGGUUCUAGGCUGUGGUCUGUAGAAGCAAAGCAGAGAAGGACUCAAAUCCAGGCCAACUGCAUGGCUGUCUGAGGUGUUGGAACAGAAGGAGGUCCAUUCCUGUUGGUGACAACACUGUGGCCCUGUUCUGGAAUGACCGAGGUAUAAAGGUUGCCCCCAAGAAAGAGCAGCUGAGUCCUUGCGUCUUGUGGCACCUAGCGUGCCCAGCACUGAGUCCGUGGGAGCUGAAGGCAGCCCGGCCCCUUCUCAUGGGCAGUGCCCACCUGUGCUGAGGUCCUGUAGCCGUGGCAAUAAGAGCCCUCCGAGGUAGGCGCCUUCAAAGGAACAGAACCCUGAGACAGCAGAGAAAGAAGAUGGUUCUCUGCAGCCAAGGAGCCAAUUGUCACAGGACUUUUUUUCGCUUAAGAAGGUGAGGGAAAAACAGAAUUAACCUAUGGAGCGUUGCCUCCAUUCCUGGGUCCUUCUG